UGUUAACUGGAAAAGAACUGGCGUUUUCACGUUACUGUCGUCCCAUUCAGAACGUAUCGCUUCAGUCUGGGUCUGCGGUAAUGCUAAUUAUUCCUAAGGAUGUAAACUACAGAGUCAGACAUGACUGAGCGACUAACCCACAUACACACAUAAACUCCAGCACAUAGAUACUUGCUAUUCUUAUCCUUGAGUGUUUCUUGGUUUCUGCUGCCGUUACAAAUGGGAUUUCUUCCUAUUCAUUUUCUAACGAUAAUGUCAAUAUGAAAUUUUUUUUUUGCAUAAAUUUGCCUCGUGUCCAGUCAUCUUGCUGAAUUUUCUUAGUCUAAUACUUUUCUUUGACAAUAUUCUUAUCCUCAGUUCCUCUUGCUUUGCUGCUUUGAUUGAAAUAUCUGAGGUGAUGUUACAUAAAUGGGCUUCUCUCGCCAUCAGUGUUUCCUCAUUUAAGAUUAUAUUUGUUGCUGCUUUCUGGAAGAUACCCUUCUUAUAGUCUUUAAGUUCUCUUUUAUUUCUGUUGACCCCUGCCUUGUGAUUAGGAAAUAUGAGGUUACCAGAUAUGUUUUGGGUGUGCGGUGAUCAGAUCCCAGGACUGUUCUAGAAGGCGGGGUGUGCUGAGUGGCGUUGAUGGGUCGCUCAGUGAGAAAGCUGCUUGCAUGCUCUGGAUCACAGUGUGCGCUCUGAGCAUGUCACGCUGGGUCCAGCCUGCUCACGGCUCCCUGGGUGUGUCUCAGGGAAGGAACGUUCCUACGGGAUGGGGGUGGCGGGGACCUUUAUUAGGCUGUUUGUGAAGGUUUUAUGACAUGAUUGGUGCCCUAUUCUUCUCUGUUCUGGAACAGUUUGUGUAAGGAGGGAUUGUGUAAGUGUCCCUGGAUAUCUGGUAAAGUCAGGUGAGAAGCUGUCUGGCUUUGGCAGCUCUUCACCUUCAUCUGAUGGAGAGUCUUUGCUGUGUGCUUCACGGGACCACAGGGCUGUCGGGCUGCCCACUUGGGCUCACUCCCACCCGGAGGGGUGGUCUGGUGGAUCAGAGGAGGAGCAGAAAGACGAUAGCAGGCUCCGGAGACCCACGCGGCCUGGGUCUUCCUCCACAGCCUCAGUCUUUCCGGCUGGGAAAUGGGGAAACGGCCUCUGCUUCACCAGCUGGUGAGGAUUUUAUUGGUUAAGGCCUGGAACAGACUUCAAGGGCACUUGGCUCCGGGAAAGAUGUUAGGUAUGUUAUAUAUAAUGUGACAAAGUGCCACAAACCUGGAGGCUUAGACAGCAGAAGGCUCGUCUCCAGUUCCGGAGCCCAGAUGUCUGACAGAAGGUGCCCGAGGGCUGCUGCCCUGUGGGGACUGAGGGGAGGCUCUGUCCUCGGCUUGUAAACCUCCGCCCUCACCCUCACGGCGUUCUCCCUGGGCGUGUGCACCUGUCUCUGUGUCCAACUCUGCCCUUUUUUAUAAGAACACAGAGAUCUGGGACCGCGGCCCACCGGGUGAGCUCAAGCUAGCUUGGGUCUCUCCGAAGACGAUUUCCAAAUCAGGUCCCGUGAGCAACUGGCGGGGCUUGGCGCCGCAGGCUCUUCCCGGGCACCCGGGGACCGUGGCGCGGGCACGUGAGGGUAGCAGCCGCGGUGAAGGCGCGGGGCUUUGGGCCCGAGACUCAGCAAGACCCAGGAAGGCAGAGCUUGAGACGCGCUCAGCUGCUGGUGGUGGGAAGGGUGACCUCACCCAGCGAGGCGUGUGGGGAGAGCAGAGGGGCGGCGUCUCUGUGUGAAGGGUGCGGGAGGAAGGGGACCCGAGCAGAGAAGACGUGGGCAGAGGUGUCGGAGGAGCGCGGCAAGCGGGCCUUCAGGAAGGAGGGGUGCUCGGGCGGGCGGAGUUGCGUCAGAAGCGGGCCGCGAG
rnacentral:lncRNA from 1 species